rnacentral:rRNA from 1 species
GGGUUGUGAGGUUAAGCGACUAAGCGUACACGGUGGAUGCCCUGGCAGUCAGAGGCGAUGAAGGACGUGCUAAUCUGCGAUAAGCGUCGGUAAGGUGAUAUGAACCGUUAUAACCGGCGAUUUCCGAAUGGGGAAACCCAGUGUGAUUCGUCACACUAUCGUUAACUGAAUACAUAGGUUAACGAAGCGAACCGGGGGAACUGAAACAUCUAAGUACCCCGAGGAAAAGAAAUCAACCGAGAUUCCCCCAGUAGCGGCGAGCGAACGGGGAGGAGCCCAGAGCCUGAAUCAGCAUGUGUGUUAGUGGAAGCGUCUGGAAAGGCGCGCGAUACAGGGUGACAGCCCCGUACACAAAAGCGCAUGUGCUGUGAGCUCGAUGAGUAGGGCGGGACACGUGGUAUCCUGUCUGAAUAUGGGGGGACCAUCCUCCAAGGCUAAAUACUCCUGACUGACCGAUAGUGAACCAGUACCGUGAGGGAAAGGCGAAAAGAACCCCGGCGAGGGGAGUGAAAAAGAACCUGAAACCGUGUACGUACAAGCAGUGGGAGCCCCACCACCAAAGCAUUCUCUGGUGUUGAAGGCCCUGCAAAGCAGCAUCGCGGUGGCGGAGCGUCGUUUGCGACGCCCAACACACAAAACAAGCGGUGAGUGCUUUGGGGUGGGGUGACUGCGUACCUUUUGUAUAAUGGGUCAGCGACUUAUAUUCUGUAGCAAGGUUAACCGAAUAGGGGAGCCGGAGGGAAACCGAGUCUUAAUUGGGCGUUAAGUU